CUCUCUUCAAGAAGCAUAAAAAGAAUGCUAUGUUUUCUUUCGUUUUUUUUUUUUUCGCGCUGUGGUAAAGAGCGGUGACAGAUCAGAACACAAAGAAAACACGUUUAGUAUCUGAAUGGCGACAGUAAUCAUGAAAAAUAGCGCAUCUGAACUUGUGGAUUCUCCAGGAGUGGACAACAAUGGUCGCUGUGCAUCAGAAGCCAGCGAUGGAUGGAGAACCACAUUUGAUUGAAAUGCGUUGCCGAAGAGGAGGAGCGGAACGACGAUGACCAGCGGCAGUGCAAUGAAGCAGAAAAAAACUACGGCUGGCUGAGGAUGGGGAAUAAAACUGUCCCUAUGGAUCAAAAGCCGGCGAUGGAUGGAGGACCGUAUUUGAUUUCAAUGCGUUGCCGAAGAGCAGGAGCGGAAGCGACGAUGAUGAACAGCGGCAGUGCACCGAAGCGGAAAAACUACGGCUGGCUGAGGAAGGGGAAUAAAACCGCUGCGGACACAGAGUUCAAAUCCGGUCCGAUUACGCUGGUUGAAUUCAAGAAAACACGAUUCUGGCAACGGGCGGUCAGACUGACCAAAAAUACCGGAAGUUGGAUACAACCAAGAUACGAUGGAUAGUUUUGGUUCAGUCAGGAGUUUUGUUGUUGUAUACGGAGGAUCUCAGGUCGUUGGACAGAGGUCUUUCCACACGUCUCAACAUGGGCACAAUUUCAGUUAUAAUUGUGCAAAACAGUUGUUCGCAUUAUUUUGAAGUUAUUUAUAUCAAUUAUUAAUUUUAUUUUAAUUUUAUAUAAAUUUAGCUUUAAUUUAGAUUUAAUUUAGUUUUAUUUGAGUUUUAAUUGAGUUUUAAUUUAGUUUUAAUUAAGUUUUAAUUUACGUUUAAUUCACUUUUAAUUAUCUUUUAAUUUAGUUUUAAUUUAGUUUUAAUUUAGUUUUAAUUUACCGUCGUCGGGGGUGAGAAUGGGUCACGGUUUCAACUACUUAGAAUGCUUGUAGAAUGGAUUGAAUGUAUCUUAGGGUAAGAAGACUUAAUUAUAAGAGACCUUUUUGAACGUUUUUUCUCUACGACCUCCGGGCUGCCGGUGAGAGCAUUCUCACCCCUCCGACUCAUUGUCACCCCCGAUGGCGCUAGUUUUAAUUUAGUUUAAAUUUAGUUGCAAUUUAGUUUUAUUUUAGUUUUUAAUUUCAAUUAAGUUUUAAUUUAGCUUUAAUUUACUUUUAAUUUAGUUUUAAUUUAGUUUCAAUUUAGUUUUAAUUAAGUUUUUAGUUUAGUUUCAAUUUAUUUUCAAUUUGCUUUUAAUUUACCUAGUUUUAAUUUAAUUUUAAUUUACUUAAAAUUUAGUUUAAAUUUGGUUUCAAUUUAGUUUUAUUUUAUUUUUAAUUUACUUUUAAUUUAGUUUUAUUUUAGUUUUAGUUAACUUUUAAUUUAGUUUUAAUUUAAUUUUAAUUAAGCUUUAAUUUAGUAUU